ACCGACAGAAACCGGCUGACGGCCGCGGAAACGUCGCGCGCUGGUAGUGGGGCGUUGCACAUGGGCGCCGACAGGAUUUUCUCUACAACCAGUUUCCUGACGGCGCCCAUGGGAACGCGUAUACUCGCUCUGAUUUUAUGUUGGAAGCGAGAAUAGAAGUCGGCGAGAAAAGUUACGCAGGGGGACGACGCGAUGACGGCGUCAUCAGCGUUCUCGCAUUAAGAUGUUGCUUUACGCGCCGUCGAGUCCAGCUUCGCUCGAUGCAUUACGAGUGAUUUAAUGGCGAUUGGUCGGGGAGAACGAGUGUGAUUAGCGGAAACGAGAGUGAAACGACUACGAGCAGAUAUUGCAUCCGUAAACGCCGGUGAUGCAGCGUUUUAUGACGCUGAAGAUCUGUUAGUUACUGCUGAUUAGGAUUGUGAAAAGGCAAUAGUCCGUUGAACUGUUUAGUGCACAUGUGUAACUACAUAGAGCAACGUGAGAAAAAAUAUAAACGGAGGAAGUGCAUCCGCAUGUCCUAAGAAAGAGAAAUAAACGUAACCAGUCGACUUUUCACCUAGAAAAUUUAUUCACAACCAGUGAUGUAACAAAAAAUGGAACGCACCACUGAUAGCUGAUUGGUUAAUAUUUAUUCUCGAGCGUCACGCACGGACCUUGGACGUUCUUGACCUUUGGAUCGUUUCGUACGUCGCUUUUUGCACGGAUUCACGGCGCGACGUAAGUUACGUGGUCAGUUUCCCUGCGCAGUCUAUACGAGAAAUAACGUGAGAGACUGUGUGUUUAAUUUAGCACUGGUUGACAUGAAUAAUUUCGUACGUUUGCAUCCACAAAAACAAGCUGAGAAGAGCAUCGCAUCAGACAUUAGCACUAUGAAUUCGAGAUCAACUUCAUAUGAUAAUGUCAAAAUCUUCGUGAAUAGAAAUUAUCGAAAAUGCAAAAUUUGUUUUUGGCUCGGAUACGAUUCUUCGAUUAACUCUUUAAAACUCAGGAUACAUAAUAAUGUACAUUCAUUUUGCGCGUUCCCCAAAUUUCGUCUAUUGGUAAUGGUUCCAUUGA